CUCUUCUUCUCUAAUCGCUGUAGCCAUGGUGGAAUGAAUUGAGCUGGCUUUGGAAUUAGGAAACCCUGGGUUCAAGUCUUGCCUGUGACACUUACUUGCUGUGAUCCAUCCUGCAGCCCUCAGGAACAUUUCCAGGCAGUGAGCUUUCCCAUGGAGCCGUGACAGUGCUGCAGUUUUCUGUUACAGCCCCAAUGUAGGCGAUGGUGUCAUGCAUGGAGCCGUUGGGUUCUUUGUCAGGCACACAAUGAAACUGGGAUUCAAAUGCAGUCUUCAGAGAGGCAGCACUGAGGAAGUUGAGUUUUCUUUGUUACUUUUCAAUCAAGGGAACUGGCCAACAGCAGGGGGCAGUGGCUCUAUGGGGCUGAAGAAGCAUUUCCAGGGCUGCACCACCACCUGGUGGCCAAAUGUAGAAGUUCAGAAAUUACACUCAUCCGUUUUGCUCUCAUUUUAUCAAAGACCAGUGGCAAGACAGAAGCCAAGACAACUGUCUCUGGCCCAGGACGCAGUGGAUGACCUUGGUGUCUUUGAUGCCUGACAAAGCUCUAAGUGCUCCGCAGCGCCUCUUGGCCGUUGGAACAAACUCUUCUCAUCUGCCCAUUCUGCUGGGGGACGUCCUCAUGUGCUUGGGGCAGACAUCCCCUUAACUCACCAAGGGAUUUGAGGCCUGAGGGUUGCCAUUAACCUGUUUUAGCCUGUCUACACAGACAGUUUUCCCGGGGUGUGGCCGCUGUGCAUGCUACAUCUUGGAGCCACAGGGGAGAGCUGGUGGCAGGAGGACGCCAGAGGCGGGUGAGGGGCUCUGAAAAGGGCUCAGCAGCCCUCACACCAGAAGUGCUAGUCCUCCCCGAACACCCCACAUGCCCCUGCAUAUAAUUAAUGAGAGUCUGAAGGGUCCUCUGGCUUCUCCAGUCUCCUCCAGUCCAAAUGAAAAUCAGAUUUGAUCCUGAACUCCCUCCUGCCUCCCGAAUUGCUUGCUAUGGAAUCAGGCCACUUAGCCAAUCAAGUUCUGAUAACCAGACAGCAGUGCCAAAAACGUGAAUGUGGUUGCUCCUGCUCUUACUUACAUUCAGUUAUGUCCUGAUUCCCGCAGACAGCUUGGCCUAAUGAUGGACCUGGCUUCUUUGCCAUUUACUGUAGGGGCUGAGCUAAUGUUCUCA